ACAACAAAUGUUGUCAUACUAAUGCUUUGUAUACAACCAUUCAAGGUAACAUUUGUUAUUUACAUCAAUGUUACAGCUAAUCUAGAAGAACCACAGUGUAUGCCAAUCAUGCUAACUCUUGUAAACUUGUUUUACUUGUCUUUAAUGACAGACACAUUACAGGUUAUGCUCCGGAAGAUGGAGACAUUGGAGGAGAACCAGCGAGAGGCUCUCCUAUUCAGGCGACUACAGGGCAGACACACUGAAGAGGUGCCAGUGAUGGACCUACAGGUGGCCCAAACACAGGCUGAACUCCAAGACCUUGAGGAGCGCCUUAAGGUGCUGGAGUUGCGAAAGAGAGUGACGCUGUGAUGCAGUGGAAGACGGGACUGGGAGAGAAAGCUGUGGAGCUCCUCAUAGAGGAGACACUCAAACACACCCCGGCAGCCCAUUCAAAACAAGCCAGGGCCAACAGACAGGACCUGUAGCGGGGACUGGCAGAAGAUUUUAAUUUACUGUUUGGCACUUUGUUUGAAAUAAAAUGACAAUGUUACAUGGAAAUGCUGCCUUGUUUAUGAUUAGCUUGAGUUAGGCUACACAUCACACAAACAUAGUCCUCCUAAAGUUGGCUACCAUGUAGCCUAUUAUACAAGAACAAGUAGCAUUUUGGGCAAAU